GGGCUCAUAGCUCAGUUGGUUAGAGCACCGUGUUGAUAACGCGGGGGUCGGUGGUUCAAGUCCACCUGGGCCCACCA
rnacentral:tRNA from 2 species